UCCUUCCCAAUUUGCGCCUAGUUUGCCUUUGGAGCAGUCUUUUCUGCCGACACUCGCUCUUCUCCAUACUAGGCUUCCUUUUCUUAUCGCUUUACCCUUGACAUUCUUGUCGUGAUAUCUAACGAUACUUUGUUUAUAAGCUGCAUUCUUUGCCUGUGCAUUAUCCCUAAGCUCAUCCACUAAGUCCAGAGUUAUCGCACAUGAUCUCAUGUUUUCUUCCAUGUCAUAGGAUAACACUCUGACUGUUGGAAUGCUUAGCUCUAUUGGGAUUAGUGCUUCCAUUCCAUAUGCUAGCGAGAACGAGGUUUCUCCGGUGGGUGUCUUUUCAGUGGUUCUAUACGCCCACAG
rnacentral:lncRNA from 1 species